AGUUUACUUCUGGGUUCAGCUGCCUGCCAAGACGCCAGGUGACAAUCGGGGCUCUCCAAGGCCGCUCCUGCCAUUGUCUCCAGCUGUGGGGCCCAAGAAACCACACACGUGAGAUGCACAGUCUGAUAUGGCCGGCUCUGCCCCUCUGGGUUUUAUAUCUUUUCAAAGUGAUUCAUUGAAAGCUGUGGCUGUUGUCAGCUGGGUGCUGGGAGCACUGAACAAAUUCCCUGCCUAGGUUGUGUAGACAACGUGGGGAAUGGGAGACCCUUGGGAUCCUGAUGGUCUCGCCAGGCCUACUGAGACAAGUGUCCAGUGCCAUCGGACCUGUGCUCAUGCAGUUACUUACUACCAUGUGAAUCUGACCAUCAAAAUUCUUCCUACAUUUCAAUUCCCCCAACUCUAAAAUGAGGAGGUUGGGCUUGAUACCAUCUCAGAACUCUUCCAGCUAUAAACUGCAAACCAAUCAGAGACCUGAUUGAUAAAUGCUACACGUGUACAUCUCAUUGAGCUCAAGGACAGAGCUUCCCCUCUCCUCACUGUCUGCAGUGCCUGGUCCAGGCAGGACCUGCCAUCAAGUCAAUGCUGAAAAUGUUGGCCACACAAAAACAUCUGCACCGUCGGAAGGAACAGAAGCUCCAGAACAAUGCCUGGGCUUCAAGAUCCAAUGGAACUUUGUCAGUUGAACGCCAGUCUUGAAUCCAGGUCUUCUUGCUUCCAAAUGUGGUCCUCUGCUGUCUCAUCAGCCUCUUGGGGCCUCACGCUGGGCUCCAGUUCGGGGUGUGAGGAGACGCCAAAUGCUUCUCAGAAUGGCCUAUCUGGGAUCUCGCCCAGUGCCUUUCUCCCUCCUCUUGCUAUUUUUCGUGUCUUUUCUCUUCCCCCUCUCCCUGUGUCGGGCGUGUUUACUUGCAGCAGCCAGAAAGACCACCUUCCACCCGCCCUCUCUUCGGUUCAGCUGCACCUCUCUACUCCAAUAAACCGUUUGCAUUCCAUCUGGUGAGCGUUUGCUCUGAAGACAUUUCCUUGUCAAUCUCUCCCGCCACAUUAAAAAUCUGUCAUUACGAUUGCAUCGCCGCCUGGCUCCUGAGAUUUCUGACUGCUUUAUUGCUCUCCUCAUUUUUUUCUCUUGCCUGCUACAGCCGAGAAGCAGAAAUAAAGGUUUGUUGUUGAAACAUGGCCGGGAGGAAAGUAGGAGGCACACAUCUGUCAAGACAUUACCUUUCUUCAACCAGGGAUUAAGGUGUUUUACGGCACUCGCUACUGAGCAGUCACACUGAAUAAAUUUUCUCAGUAGAACAUAAAAAUGAACUCAUACAUUUUGAACCAAGUUUCUUCUUUCCAGCCAGCCCCGAUCAUUAUGCAGUGGCACCCGCAUACAGGGGCGCCAGCGAGUUAGGAAGUUUCUCAGACCCAUCCCACCUCCCGCCAAAGCUGCAUUAUUUAAAUGCCCGUUGAGGCGAAGGAAGCAUCGGGAUUAAGGGGAGAUGGUGGCUGUGAACACUCAGGCUUCCUCAGCUUGUGGGAGAGAACAGAAAGAUUUAAAAGAAACCUGGCCCCAGGUGUCCUCACUCAGGCCUGGCAAUGCCCGAUCUUGCUUUAAGAGCCGGAUCAAAUCCCUUUCUGUGGGGAGUGGCCCCUGGUUCCUCCACCAUCCUGUCCCCUCCUCCCUGCCCUGUAGGAGCACUUAUGUGACAACUGCCUGUUUCACAGCCCAUCCUCCUACUUUCUUCUCUAUCCCGGAACCUCAUGCUUACAAGACUUUACAGUGGCUAUUAAGAGCGAUGUAACCAUAAUAUUUUGGAGGGCUUUGUUUUGCAUUCUAAACUUUGUACAUGGAUUAGCCCAUUUAGACUUCCCAGCCACCCAUUAAAGUAGGUCAUUCUGCUCUCAUCUUAUAGAUGAGGAAACUGGGAUAGAAAGUCGUGUUAAGCACCUUGCAGAAAGUCAAAGAGCUAGCCAGGGACAGACCUAGGAUUUGAACCCAGCAUCAGAACCCCUACUUCUAAGACCAGCAGUCUGUUGUUAAGUGCUGUGCUAUUCUGCCAAGGGCAUAGGGCAUGGGGACAGAGGAGUUUAGGAAAGGCUUUGAAACAACUUUCUGGCACAGCAGCGUCUUGGUAAUGAGCAAAGGUGCCUGGGAGCGCUAUCUUGUCCUGGUACCCUCUGCCCUGGGGGCUGCCACAGCCCCACCCAAAGUUACAGAGCAACAGGAUUGGUGACCUGGGCUGAUGCUGCAUCUGAACUCCCUUUGUGACUUUCUCCACUAUUUCUCUCUCUCUCUCUCUUUCACACACACACACACACACACACACACACAUACACACAAUGUCCUCUCCACCUUUCUGA
rnacentral:lncRNA from 1 species